GACGUAGGGGGCAAGCGUUGUCCGGAAUCAUUGGGCGUAAAGAGCGUGUAGGCGGUCCGGUCAGUCGGUUGUGAAAGUCAAGGGCUCAACCCUUGAAUGCCGGCCGAUACUGCCGGGCUAGAGUCCGGAAGAGGUGAGUGGAAUUCCGAGUGUAGAGGUGAAAUUCGUAGAUAUUCGGAGGAACACCAGUGGCGAAGGCGGCUCACUGGUCCGGUACUGACGCUGAGGUGCGAAAGCGUGGGGAGCAAACAGG
rnacentral:rRNA from 1 species